rnacentral:rRNA from 1 species
UACGAAGGGUGCAAGCGUUAAUCGGAAUUACUGGGCGUAAAGCGUGCGUAGGCGGUUUGUUAAGUCUGCUGUGAAAUCCCCGGGCUCAACCUGGGAAUGGCAGUGGAUACUGGCAAGCUAGAGUGUGUCAGAGGGUGGUGGAAUUCCCGGUGUAGCGGUGAAAUGCGUAGAGAUCGGGAGGAACAUCAGUGGCGAAGGCGGCCACCUGGGACAACACUGACGCUGAGGCACGAAAGCGUGGGGAGCAAACAGG